AGAUAUUUGCUUUUAUUUGAAUGAUUGGCUCUGGUGCCCUUGAUGUAUAUUCGUAAACUCUCAGUGACACAUUUCAUAUUGACAAGUCGUCAUCUGACGACACUCUAUCAAGAUUGUGUGCCUUUGAUGCAUGUCUGUGUGUAAGUGUGUUCACCUCGAACCACAUUCAAGUUCUGUGUUUGACCCUCAUCGAAGACUGGUUUUCCAGGAUUGAUGGAAGUUGUUAGACAAUAGAAAUUCUACGACCUAGCUGGGUUUCUGAAUACAGUAUACUAGUCUCUUAUGACGAUUGCAGUAACAUCUGGUCCUUCAAACCGGAGCUUCCAGUGAACCUCCGGAUUAGAUUCGCUGCUUUGCAGACUUCAUUCGCUGCUUUGUAGACCUGACUUGCUGCCUUUGGCAUAUUCUGAAGAUUCGCUGUUGUGCAGACCUCAUUCGCUGCCGUGUAGACGUCAUUCGCUGCCUUUGGCAAAUUCUGAAGAUUCGCUGCUGUGCAGACUUCACUCGCUGCUGUGCAGACCUCAUUCUCUGCCGUGCAGACCUCAUUCGCUGCUUAGCAGACCGGACUUGCUGCCUUUGGCAAAUUCUGAAGAUUCGCUGCUGUGCAGACUUCACUCGCUGCUGUGCACACCUCAUUCGCUGCCGUGCAGACCUCAUUCGCUGCUUUGCAGAAUGGACUUGCUGCCUUUGGCAGAUUCUGAAGAUUCGCUGUUGUAUAGACUUCACUCGCUGCUGUGCAGACCUCACUUGCUGCUGUGCAGACCUCAUUCGCUGCCGUGCAGACCUCAUUCGCUGCGUGGGUAGACCUCAUUCGCUGCUGUGCAGACUUCAUUCGCUGCUUGUGCAGAUUUGAUUCGCUGCCUUCAGGCAGAUCCUUUGAAUUGAAGAUUGUUUGCCGAUAACAAGAUGCCGGGAGAAGAUAUCACC